UACGUAGGGUGCGAGCGUUAAUCGGAAUUACUGGGCGUAAAGCGUGCGCAGGCGGUAAUGUAAGACAGUUGUGAAAGCCCCGGGCUCAACCUGGGAAUGGCCAUGGAAACUGGCGAACUGGAGUGUGGCAGAGGGGGGUGGAAUUCCGCGUGUAGCAGUGAAAUGCGUAGAGAUGCGGAGGAACACCGAUGGCGAAGGCAGCCCCCUGGGCUAGCACUGACGCUCAGGCACGAAAGCGUGGGGAGCAAACAGG
rnacentral:rRNA from 1 species